UCCCAAUUCACUCUUCUUCUCCAAAUUCUCUCAAACCUCCAUUCGAGGGAAAACAUAAGUUCAACCUAUAGGGUGGAUUUUCAUAGUUUAUUCUCAAAUUUAUCAUGUGCAUUCAAUAAAUAAGGUUAUAGAUGCUUAAUGGAUUUCACUAAGGUGAAGAACUUGAAAUAUUUUUCCAAUCCCAAGAAAGGAUUUCUUAUGUUCCAAUGAUUUCCUACAUCAAGUUUAUAUUCAAUGUAUAAUAAUAACUUAAGUAUUACAUUAUGAUGUUAAAGGGUCGUGUACCUAAUCUAUUCUAUGAUCUUGAGUCUAAGAUGACAAAAGAGACUUACAAUCUAACUAUUUAGUAUGACUUAUAUUCUUAUAUAAUGGAAGUGAUGUUUCUAGAA